UUCUGGUUGAUCCUGCCGAAGGCUACUGCUAUUGGAGUUCGAUUAAGCCAUGCGAGUCUAAGGGAUCUUCGGAUCCCUGGCGUAAUGCUCAGUAACACGUGGAUAAUCUACCCUCAGGUGGGGCAUAAACCCGGGAAACUGGGGCCAAUUCCCCAUAAAUACAGAUGGCUGGAAUGCUUCUGUAUUCAAAGCUCCGGCGCCUGAGGAUGAGUCUGCGGCCUAUCAGGUUGUAGUCAGGGUCAAGACCUGACUAGCCAGCGACGGGUAUGGGGUGUGAGAGCACUUGCCCAGAGAUGGUUUCUGAGACACGAAACCAGGCCCUACGGGGCGCAGCAGGCGCGAAAACUUCGCAAUGCGGGAAACCGUGACGAGGGAACUCCGAGUGUCUAUGCAUUGCAUAGACUGUUUUUUAGCCUAAAUAGCUAUUAGAGUAAGGGGUGGGCAAGACCGGUGCCAGCCGCCGCGGUAACACCGGCACCCCGAGUGGUAGCCACUAUUAUUGGGCCUAAAGCGUUCGUAGCCGGUUUGGUAAAUUCUUGGGUAAAUCGUACCGCUCAACGGUGCGGAUUCCGGGGACACUACCAGACUUGAGACCGGGGGAGAUCAGAGGUACUUGCGGGGGAGCGGUGAAAUGUUGUAAUCCCGCAGGGACCACCAGUGGCGAAGGCGUCUGAUCAGAACGGCUCUGACGGUGAGGAACGAAACCCUGGGGCGCAAACGGGAUUAGAUACCCCGGUAGUCCAGGGC
rnacentral:rRNA from 1 species